AGUGAACGCUGGCGGUAGGCCCAACACAUGCAAGUCGAACGGCAGCACAGUAAGAGCUUGCUCUUACGGGUGGCGAGUGGCGGACGGGUGAGGAAUACAUCGGAAUCUACUUUUUCGUGGGGGAUAACGUAGGGAAACUUACGCUAAUACCGCAUACGACCUACGGGUGAAAGCAGGGGAUCUUCGGACCUUGCGCGAUUGAAUGAGCCGAUGUCGGAUUAGCUAGUUGGCGGGGUAAAGGCCCACCAAGGCGACGAUCCGUAGCUGGUCUGAGAGGAUGAUCAGCCACACUGGAACUGAGACACGGUCCAGACUCCUAAGGGAGGCAGCAGUGGGGAAUAUUGGACAAUGGGCGCAAGCCUGAUCCAGCCAUACCGCGUGGGUGAAGAAGGCCUUCGGGUUGUAAAGCCCUUUUGUUGGGAAAGAAAAGCAGCAGGUUAAUACCCCGCUGUUCUGACGGUACCCAAAGAAUAAGCACCGGCUAACUUCGUG
rnacentral:rRNA from 1 species